rnacentral:rRNA from 1 species
GACGUAGGGCGCAAGCGUUGUCCGGAUUUAUUGGGCGUAAAGAGCUCGUAGGCGGCUCGUUGCGUCGGCUGUGAAAACCCGCAGCUCAACUGUGGGCUUGCAGCCGAUACGGGCGGGCUGGAGUUCGGUAGGGGAGACUGGAAUUCCUGGUGUAGCGGUGAAAUGCGCAGAUAUCUGGAGGAACACCGGUGGCGAAGGCGGCAUCCUGGACCAACACUGACACUGAGGAGCGAAAGCCAGGGGAGCAAACGGG